rnacentral:piRNA from 1 species
GCUUCUAGACUGCCUGAAUGAGCUCAACC